AAAGAUUUGGAAUUGGAUUAUGGUUUUAAGUAAUAUUCCAAAACCUGUACCUUCAUACAUGCUAUCCCUGCCCUCUGGGAAGACCUGCCCCAGUGACCUCUCCCUCCUAGGGAUUCUGGUGACACUUCAUCAACACUGUAACUAUUCCUGAGCUGUUUUUUACUGUUUUCUCUCCACAGACUUCUCUCUCACAGUGGAUUAUAACAUUCUGGAGAGGUACCAGGUACACAGGGUACUUGGCCCUGGGUCUAGCCAGGUACAAACACGGUAAAUAUUUGUGGAAUGGGUAGAUAUCAACAAUUUUAGAGCACCAUUACAUCAGUUGAAAAGAAUAAACCUUAACAUGGCAAAACAUAUUAAAUCUUUGUCUUUGACUUCCAGAUAAGCUGUUCAUUUUAAACUCUUAGGAAAGAAGGACAAGGACAAGUGCAGAGUGGCGGGUGUGCACAUCUUCAAUAGAAAACCCAAUAGGACGUUUGAAGAUUUUGGACAACAUUUCCAAUGUUGAUUGGAAAAAGAAAAAACCCAUGCAGUGUAUAUAAUUCCAAAUAUAGGGAGCUUCCUGGGUGAAAUCUGAAACCACCUCCGUACUCAGAAGGCAGAGAGAGCAUCUUCUUUAUCCAUCAUCUACUCUUGGACAUUUGGGCUCCUUCCAUAAUUUAGCCGUUGUAAAUAAUGCUGCAAUAAACAUAGGGUGCAUAUA